GCAUCAUAGACGGUGGCACUCAAACGCAGUCUGCAAAUCCGAACAUGGGAAGAGAAAAGCCGAAGGUGGUGGUUAUUAUGGGGCCGACCGGUUCUGGGAAGUCCCGUCUCGCCAUCGAUUUGGCUUCUCACUUCCCCGUCGAGAUCAUCAACGCCGACUCUAUGCAGGUUUAUCGAGGGUUGGACGUUCUCUCUAACAAAGUUCCCCCCGAAGACCAAAAUGGAGUACCGCAUCAUCUUUUAGGUACAGUGAG
rnacentral:misc_RNA from 1 species